rnacentral:rRNA from 1 species
GACGAACGCUGGCGGCGUGCUUAACACAUGCAAGUCGAACGGUAAGGCCCUUCGGGGUACACGAGUGGCGAACGGGUGAGUAACACGUGGGUGAUCUGCCCUGCACUUCGGGAUAAGCCUGGGAAACUGGGUCUAAUACCGGAUAGGACCCUGGGAUGCAUGUCCUGGGGUGGAAAGCUUUUGCGGUGUGGGAUGGGCCCGCGGCCUAUCAGCUUGGUGGUGGGGUGAUGGCCUACCAAGGCGACGACGGGUAGCCGGCCUGAGAGGGUGACCGGCCACACUGGGACUGAGAUACGGCCCAGACUCCUACGGGAGGCAGCAGUGGGGAAUAUUGCACAAUGGGCGCAAGCCUGAUGCAGCGACGCCGCGUGAGGGAUGACGGCCUUCGGGUUGUAAACCUCUCUCAGCACCGACGAAGCGCAAGUGACGGUAGGUGCAGAAGAAGGACCGGCCAACUACGUGCCAGCCGCCGCUGUAA